GACGAACGCUGGCGGCGUGCCUAACACAUGCAAGUCGAACGGGACCGGGGGCAACUCCGGUUCAGUGGCGGACGGGUGCGUAACACGUGAGGAACAUGACCUUCGGCGGGGGAUAGCCGGCCCAACGGCCGGGUAAUACCGCGUACGACCUUUCGGGGACAUCCCUGGAUGGUGAAAGCAGCAAUGCGCCGAUGGAGUGCCUCGCGGCCUAUCAGCUAGUUGGUGGGGUAACGGCCUACCAAGGCAACGACGGGUAGCUGGUCUGAGAGGAUGGCCAGCCAGAUUGGGACUGAGACACGGCCCAGACUCCUACGGGAGGCAGCAGUGGGGAAUAUUGCGCAAUGGACGAAAGUCUGACGCAGCGACGCCGCGUGUGGGAUGACGGUCUUCGGAUUGUAAACCACUGUCGGGAGGGACGAAUACGCCGCAAGGCGGGUGACGGUACCUCCAAAGGAAGCACCGGCUAACUCCGUGCCAGCCGCCGCAGUAACAC
rnacentral:rRNA from 1 species